rnacentral:rRNA from 1 species
UGGGGAAUAUUGGACAAUGGGGGAAACCCUGAUCCAGCAAUGCCGCGUGUGUGAAGAAGGCCUUAGGGUUGUAAAGCACUUUCGCCCGCGAAGAUGAUGACGGUAGCGGGAGAAGAAGCCCCGGCUAACUCCGUGCCAGCAGCCGCGGUAAUACGGAGGGGGCUAGCGUUGUUCGGAAUUACUGGGCGUAAAGCGCACGUAGGCGGCUUGAAAAGUUAGGCGUGAAAGGCCUGGGCUUAACCUGGGAACUGCGCUUAAUACUAGCGAGCUUGAGUCCGGAAGGGGGUGGCGGAAGUCCCAGUGUAGAGGUGAAAUUCGUAGAUAUUGGGAAGAACACCGGUGGCGAAGGCGGCCACCUGGUCCGGAACUGACGCUGAGGUGCGAAAGCGUGGGGAGCAAACA